rnacentral:rRNA from 1 species
AUUAAACGCUGGCGGAAUGCUUUACACAUGCAAGUCGAACGGCAGCACGGACUUCGGUCUGGUGGCGAGUGGCGAACGGGUGAGUAAUGUAUCGGAACGUGCCCAGUCGUGGGGGAUAACGUAGUGAAAAUUACGCUAAUACCGCAUACGAUCUAUGGAUGAAAGAGGGGGAUCGCAAGACCUCGCGCGAUUGGAGCGGCCGAUAUCAGAUUAGGUAGUUGGUGGGGUAAAGGCCCACCAAGCCAACGAUCUGUAGCUGGUCUGAGAGGACGACCAGCCACACUGGAACUGAGACACGGUCCAGACUCCUACGGGAGGCAGCAGUGGGGAAUUUUGGACAAUGGGCGAAAGCCUGAUCCAGCCAUUCCGCGUGCAGGAUGAAGGCCCUCGGGUUGUAAACUGCUUUUGUACAGAACGAAAAGGUUUCUACUAAUACUAGGAGCUCAUGACGGUACUGUAAGAAUAAGCACCGGCUAACUACGUGCCAGCAGCCGCGGUAA